rnacentral:rRNA from 1 species
CACGUAGGGGGCAAGCGUUGUCCGGAUUUAUUGGGCGUAAAGAGCUCGUAGGUGGUUCGGUAAGUCAGGUGUGAAACCUCCAGGCUCAACCUGGAGACGCCACUUGAUACUGCUGUGACUGGAGUCCGGUAGGGGAGCGUGGAAUUCCUGGUGUAGCGGUGAAAUGCGCAGAUAUCAGGAGGAACACCAAUGGCGAAGGCAGCUCGCUGGGACGGUACUGACGCUGAGACGCGAAAGCGUGGGGAGCAAACAGG